AAAACUUUCAACAACGGAUCUCUUGGUUCCAGCAUCGAUGAAGAACGCAGCGAAAUGCGAUAACUAAUGUGAAUUGCAGAAUUCAGUGAAUCAUCGAGUCUUUGAACGCACAUUGCGCCCCUCGGUAUUCCGGGGGGCAUGCCUGUUCGAGCGUCAUUAUAC
rnacentral:rRNA from 1 species